GUAAGGAAUAUUGGGCAAUGGAGGAAACUCUGACCCAGCAACGCCGCGUGAAGGAAGAAGGUCUUCGGAUUGUAAACUUCUGUUAUUAGGGAAGAAGAUAGUGACGGUACCUAAUGAGUAAGCCCCGGCUAACUACGUGCCAGCAGCCGCGGUAAUACGUAGGGGGCAAGCGUUGUCCGGAUUGACUGGGCGUAAAGGGAGCGUAGGCGGUUUGGUAAGUCAAAUGUGAAAGCCCGUAGCUUAACUACGGAAUUGCAUUUGAUACUGCUAGACUUGAGUUCAGGAGAGGUAAGUAGAAUUCCUAGUGUAGCGGUGGAAUGCGUAGAUAUUAGGAGGAAUACCAGUGGCGAAGGCGGCUUGCUGGAAUGACACUGACGCUGAGGCUCGAAAGCGUGGGGAGCAAACAGGA
rnacentral:rRNA from 1 species